GGUUCGUUAGCUCAACGGUAGAGCCCGCAGCAAAUGCUGCGGAGAUUCGCGUUCGAUUCCCGGACGAAUCA
rnacentral:tRNA from 1 species